rnacentral:lncRNA from 1 species
UUUUCAGCAAAAUGUUGUGAGCACCUACCAUAUGCCAGGCACUGUUCAGUGAACUGGUUGUACAGGAGUGAAUGAGAUCAUCUUGAUUUUGAGAAGUUUAUAAUCUACUCAAGGGAAACACGUGUAAUCAACUAUGUUUCAGACAUAACCCCUCAAAACCAAAGCAGAACCUCUUCAAGGAGCUGAGAGAUGCAAGCCUGGAUAUGCUAAGCCUAAUAGUUUCCGUUUUGCCAACGAUCAAGAUGUGAUUUCCCCCCUGAUCUCUGCCCUUGGAAUUUCAUUUUCCUGAGAUGGGGAAAGGAAUGGAGCCUCUCCACCCUCUUUUGGGUGCUCAUCUUCUCUCCAAAAAGGAGAACAUGAAAUCCCCAUGAAGAAAUUCUGGCCCAAUCAGAGAAACUGUAAGAUGUCUCUGGGAUUUUAAAGGAUCCAUCUUUGGAUGGGUCUGAGAAAGCCUGUGAACUUCCGGCAAUAUUAUGCAGACUUGCUAGCUGAGGAACCACUCCUUGCAUCAGCAGGCUGUUGGAAGGAAAAGCACUGGCUCAAGAGAAGGAGAGAAAAGUCUUUGAACUAAGCCUGCCUUUGAGACCAGGGCUGCUUCUGCUGCAGGGCUUACACCCUGUCUCUCAGGAUAUUCAUGAACAGAAUCUCCCUGCUUGUGCUUUGUAAAGGGUGUCUGUGUUUGGAGAAAGAGAGACUUCCUUCCCUUUGUAAACAAAUACAGGUCAGCCAGGGAGAUUUAAGAAUGCGGUAACUGGGUUAGCCUUGCCCAAGCUGGGCUAGGGAGUGUCUUGGCUGUGGAGGAACUGAGGUUUUCUGGGGUGAAUCUGAGUUGGAUCCAACAAGGUUGAGAUGAAGACUCAAGUGGGGUAUCAGAACCCUGGAGCAUUACAAUCAUAGCAGGGAAGACAGAUGUGUGCAGAAAACCCAACGAUCAAGGCAAGGAGAGAAGUUGGAAGCCAGAAGUAAAGUUGGUAAUAAAAGAGUCAGAAGCAAAAUGAGGCAAGUUGAAAGGAAGGAACGGCCCUGAAUGACUCUGACUUGGCUUUGCUAACAGAAAGUAUGUGCAUUACAUACUGGGCGGGCUAAGCAUAGCCAUGGUGGCCUAAUAGUGCUACACCAGAUUGAGCAAGUCAUUCUCCCAAUACCGUGGCUGUGCAAACUCUGCCUAAAGUAUUUUUUUUUUUUAGGAACCCUCCCUCUAUCCGCCAGGCUGGAGUGCAGUGGCACAAUCUCGGCUCACUGCAAACUCUGCUUCCUGGGUUCAAACAAUUAUCAUGCCUCAGCCUCCCAAGUAGCUGGGAUUACAGGCGAGUGCCAUCAUGCCCAGCUAAUUUUUGUAUUUUUAGUAGAGACUAGGUUUUACCAUGUUGGCCAGGCUGGUCUCGAACUCCUGACCUCAGGUGAUCCACCUGCCUCAGCCUCCCAAAGUGCUGGGAUUACAGGUGUGAGCCACUGAGCCAGACCUAAAAUCUUAUAUUAUGGGCUAAAAGGUAUCUAUGAAAUCUUCUAUUCCAACUCCCUCAUUUCACACACAGAGAGAGUGAAGCCCAAGUAUUAAUUCAAGAUUUAAUAAAUAAUAAGGGACAGAGCCGACCACACUCUGUCUCUUUCUCCCUAUCCAUUAAAUAGUCAGCUUUGUCAUCAGUAUUCACCUUGAAACCUUUAUGCCCAACCUCACUGGAUCUUUCAUCCUUAUUUGUGUCUGUCAUCAUGGGAAGCCCCAGACCCCUGGGUCACCAGUUAUCUCCUGUAACUGCUCACCAUAUAGUUUUGCACAUCUCUCUCUCCCCUCAUCUUUCAUUCUCCCAAACUCCUAAAAUCCUUCUACUAUGUGCCCCUGGAACUCACAAUUCAUCAUCAGCUGACUUCUCCAUAUGCUCACAGUGUUCUUCUGAAUGCUCCUUUCACUGCUUAACUGAAAUCUGCAUCUCCUUCGAGGGCUCUGCUUCUCCUGCACCUCUCUCACUUUGUGGGUGGGGAAGGUGUCCUCUGUUGCCCUCAUUACUUGUUGCACACUUUCUCUUUUACCCUAAGAUCUCCCACUUUUGAAGUCCAUGCCGUCAUACUGCUUUGAAUCCCAUACCAUCAGACUAUGUCACCCACUACCUCUCGUUGCUGAAGUCAUCAACCUGGGUCAAGUAUAUUGUAAGGUAAAAUUUCAAGUGCUACCUUGACGUCUCUGAAUCUCACAGGGCCCCAAAGGCCUGACCAUGAAUGACCCUGCUUUCACCAGAUAUACCCCUCCCACAGUGGGAAAGCUUCCCCAUCUCUCUAGUUCCCUUACCAGCCAAACAGCUCCACUCCACCUGUUCAACCUCACAAGUUUCAUUUUCCUGAUAGCCUGUGAGUGAUUCAAAUAAGCCAGUUACGUCCUCCCAUGAGAACAAAGGGGCACCUCAUCCUUCUGUUACUACAAAGCCUGCCUCCCACAGUCUCUACUGGUUCACUCAAUUCCUGAGUUGGACCCCUGUGUGGCCCUGUUCUGGAAGGCAUGCAGUGUCCAGGGCUGUGAGUAUACGUGACUAAUAAAGUGCUGCCAAUCCCAUCUGUCCAAUGCUAGGUAUCUGGUGUUCAGGUACCUCAUACUAUUUAAGGCAGGAGAGCCCUCUUUCAUCAGUGGAGUGAAUGGGAGCUUAUCAGAACAGUCAAGCUCCCCAGUUUUUGGAUCACUUUUAGCUCCUGAAUCACUAUCACUCUUUUCAGCACUUUCCCCACAUUACUUCUUUUUGAUGUCAAUAUAUGCAUAUGUGAUUCUUGCAAUAUCCUGGUUUGUCAGUACCUUUAGUUACUGAUCUUGUCCUCAGCCCUAUCUCAGCUGUUCACUUCCAUAUUGUUACCAACAAAUCCAGACCUCCGUGCAUCUCACACAUCCCAUUCUCCAACCUCUACCUCCUAUGUUUCCAGUUCAGUCCGUCUAGCACCUUCAUUCCAAAAUGAAGACCCCCCAGUGAGACCUCCAUUCCAUUGAUUUUAUCACCUGUUCUUUUCUUUAUUCAUUCCCAUCUAGUCGUUCCCCCCAUUUACCCAAUUAAAAUUCUAUGGCUAGUUGUUACAAUCACUCCUUUGCAUAAAGCCUCCUCCUCACUUGCAUAUUCUUCUCUUUAUUCGCCUUAUUUGUGAAAAUCAUAAGUCUGGCUGAACACUCGCAUUGCUCUGCUCUGCUCCUGCAUCUGUGCCGCUGAGCCUGACUCACACAUACUCAUACUACAUGGUCUCACUUUAAAUUCAUGACCACAAUCCUCAAGCAGGCCUUUAAUACUGCCGGUCAUUAUACUAUAUUUCCCUACUUCACAUAUUCUCCUACUCUCCUAGGGAACUAUUUUGCGCCUUUGCUUCUCUCUUAAAACCUACAUUUUUUCCCCUAAGCUGUCUCUCAGUUGAUGGCUUUGUUUUCUAUCUUACUGGAAAACUGAGGCCAUUAGCAGAGACCUUCUGAAAUCCUUCUACUCAUCUAACCAGUAAGAUGUGAACCCACACUCCUUGCUCCAGGAGGUCCCCGUGCUUCUAUCUAAGCCUAACACCUGUGCACGUGAAGUAGAUCCCAUCACCUAUCACCACUUAAAGAUAUUUCCCCAGAAAUUAUCCUCCUCCUCUCCAAUUUCACCACUAUUACACUUCUUUACUGAAUCCUUCCCAAGAGGAAACAGGCUUUAUUUCUCUUGUUUUAAAAAGACAACUCUGAAUUGACCUCAUUUUUUCCUCACCAGUUCUCUGAUUUUCUUUACAAAUUUCUCAAAAGAAUGAUCUUCUCCAAUCCUCAUCCUAUCUCUUCUUGAAGUCUACUGCAAUCAGACUUUUAUUCAUACCACUUCAGCAAACCGCUCUUGAAAAUAUCAAUAAUAACCUUGGUAUUACUAAACGUAAUGAUCAGUUCUCAGUCUUACUCAACAAUUGGCAGCAUUUGGCCCAAGUGAUCACUGCAUCCUCCUUGAUACACUUUCUUCCCUUUACAUUUUCUGUACUCUUCUGUUUUCCUUCUACCUCAUUGGCUGUUCUUUCUCAGUCUCUUUAGCUGUUUCUUCCCUGACUUCUUUACUACAGGUGCUCCAGGGCGUGGUUCUUAUACCUCUUCUUCCUUCCACUUAUAUUGCUCUCUCUUUGGGUGACACAAUCCAGCCUCAUAUCCUUAAAUACCAGUUAUAUGUUGAUAACUCUCAAUUUUAUACAUCCAGCUGGAAACUUUCCCUUGAACUUGAGACUCUUAUAUCUAGCUACCUACCUGACAUCUCACUUGGAUGUAGUAUUGCUUAGGGUUCAAUCAGAAGAUCAGAACCACUAUGAGUGGUAGGAAAUGAGGGAACUAUUGCAAGGAUUAGAACCUAUCUAGGUGUCGGGGGUGCUGGAGAAGUUUAUGAAAAGCUAUUGGCUUGGCAUCUGGUGGUGGACCUGAAGUUGUUGUAGGUCACCUGGACAGGUAGUUGAGAAGGACUGGACCUGAAGUGGAAGAAAGCAGGAUAAACUGGAACCCACAACGAUAAAUGAUAAAUUGGAACAACAUCUGUCUCCCUCUGCAUCAAUCUUCAACAACAUGGAUGACCUGUCAAACUCACUGGGGACAUUCUAACCUCAGAGCUUUCAUAAGGCUGUUCUAUCUGCCUGGAUCUCAUUGCCUCAGCUGCUAACAAAACUUUGUCCUUCACCUAAUUCAGGUCUUUGCUUAAAUAGCACCUCAGUAAAACCUACUCUGACUACUCCAUUUAAAAUUAAAAUUUCCCUAUUCCCCCUGCCCCAGCUAGCCCUAUUUCCAUUCUUUCUGUAGCGAUUACUACAUUUUAAGAUAGCUUUACCUAUUAUUAAGUUUAUGUCUGCUUCCUCCAACUAGAAAUGUAAGCCCAACAAGGGCAGGGGUUUUGAAGAUUUUGUUUCACUGAUGUGUUUCAGGUGCCAGACCCUGGCAGAGUAGAUGCUCAAUAAAUACUUGUAUGAACUGAGCGUUAUCGGUCUAUGCCUCCCCAUUAAGUUGGAGAAGGGAGAUAUUGAAAAAGUUAAGUUGUACAUUUCUUUAUUUAUUGGAAGCAACUCUUACUUCAUCAUUCCAGGGAAUUUCUGUAAGGAAGAUAACCCUCUCCAUUGUUUAAAGCCUUUGGUCAUAGCAUGUCUUCUUUUUACCUAACUAAAUUUUAGCUGCAAAUUUUUCAUUCUUUUUAGUCAACCUGGGGGCAGAUAUGUAUUGUAAAUCUGAAGAGAUUUGUUGGACCACUUUCUCAGCCCUUGAAGUGCUGUGUUCUGGAUUUGUUUAACCUAAUUUACGGUUUCUAGAGUUUCUAGCCCUUGAGAAAGGUUGUAAAGAAGGGAAAGGAAGUCACUUGCAGGAGAAAUAUGACACUGUUUUCUGUGUCUGUAACAGAGAGGUUGGAGGGAAGAGAACAACUGCAAUUUAUUGGAACAAGAGCUUCCUAGAAAAUGAGACCAGCAAGUGCUAAUGAUCCCUAGCAAUAGUUGCAAAUCUCAGAGACAGUAUCUGAUAUGGUUCGGCUCUGUGUCCCCACCCAUAUCUCCUCUCAAAUUGUAAUCCCCAUAAUCUCCAUGUGUCAACCUGGUGGGAGGUGAUUGGAUCAUGGGGGUGGUUUCCUCCAUACUGUUCUUGUGAUAGUGAGUUCUCAUGAGAUCUGAUGAUUUUAUAAGUGUUUAACAGUUCCUCCUUCACAUGCUGUCUUGCCUGCCACCAUGUAAGUUGUGCCUGCUUCCCUUCCACUAUGAUUGUAAGUUUCCUGAGGUCUCCUCAGUUAUGCGGAACUGUGAGUCACUUAAACCUCUUUUCUUUAUAAAUUACCCAGUCUCUAGUAGUAUCUUUAUAGCAAUUUGAAAACGGAGUAAUAUAGUAUCCUUUGUCAGUGGAAGGCAGAAAGAGGUCAGGCUUAUUCAGGAGAGUUUGUAGCUGAAAUCAAAUGUUAUUAAAGCCACUUAAAUAUAUCAUAUGACUAUCACAUGGCAUGUUGCAUCACAUUAUACUCUAGUGACUUAUGUUACUGUUCCUUUCACUAGACCAAACACUGCUCCAAAGCUGGAUGAGAUGUUUUUCCUCUUACCGUCCCCAAGCCUGGCCAAGUACAGGCACCUGGAGGCAACUCAGCAAGGACCUAUUGGGUGAACAGCAAAUAAAUAAAGUAUCUCCUUGAUUAGCAUUAGGCAAGAAUUAUUCAUUAUCAUGCAAUAUGAGUCAUUCAACUGGGGCAAGGAAAGAUGCUGGAAAGGGAAAGUAGUAUUUUUUUAGGGUCUAUUGUGUUAUUCAUGUAAAAUAGCUUGCAUGGUACCUUUUGCAUGCCUGGAACUCUUUACAUGGUGGCUGUUUUUAUGUUCUUAUUAAUUUUUGCUAACUUCAGGAGGUGGAUAUCAUAUCACCUUUUUGACAAGUAAGGAAACUAGGGCUCAGAGAAAGGAUGUAUCCUUUAGGGCCACUUAACCAGGGAGCAUCAGAGACAGAAUUCAACCCCAAGGUCACAUAAUUUCCCCAAUCCUAUUGUUCAUCUGUGGUCUCCUGGAGGGACCAUGCAGAGCACAUGGCAGAUGUGUAUGUGGAUACGUGA